ACCAUUCAUAUCCUUCACAGUGUUCCUAAUAGAUAGUUAUUAUUACACUAUCUUUAGCAACACUUUUGAGAUAAGGAUGG
rfam:Drosophila simulans chromosome X, whole genome shotgun sequence.